UGUGAGAUAAUGAUCUGAGCUGAAAUCAAGAGUUAGACGCUUAACUGACUGAGCCACUCAGAUGCCCCAGAGACCACUUUGAAGGAUUAGAGGGUGAUAAAAUACUUCCAUUACCAGCGUGUCUUCUAUGUACUAGGUUAUGUUAGAUACUUUAGACCUAUUUUUCUAUUUAAAUUUCACAGUGACUCUUUAAAAUAAUUGUUGUUCCUAUUUUAUAAAACAGGAAUCUAAGACUCAAUCAAUCUAUGGAUCCAAGGAUCGAAAGAAGAUAUUCCAGUUGAGUCAAAUGAAUGAGAAAUAUAUGUAUGAAAAUGGCAAUAAAUACUAGGGUUAGACACUGACUGUUCUUUUGGACCCCCAGGCAAUCCUAAGACACUGUCUGCAAGAAAGCUAACUUCAUGGAAUUUCAUGCCUCUCUGAACAAACUAUGCCAUUGAGGUCUCUGUCACUCAAAUGGUUGAGGACCAACAAGUUCCUUCAACAAAUAUUUGUGGGCUGUCACCAAAUGCCAAGAAGAAGGCUCAGCCCUAAGACUGAAAUAAUCCAUAAGGCAUAGUUUCUGUCUUUGAGGAGCUCACUUAAUUACACCCAAUAUUUAAGAUUUUCUUCAUGCCUAAUAAUUCUGAAUGUUUUGUUGCUAAUUUAUAUUUUAAUGUUGCAGUGGCAGCCUAAGUAAACUUAUUAUUUUCACU